AAAAUUCUAAGAACUAAAUAAGAAACAUGGGUUAAUGACAGGACUGGCUUGAGGACACAGACUUCAGCGCAGAUGGGGACCUGGAUCCCAGCAGAACUGGCUCCCCUAGGCAGUGGUUCUAGGAAAAUGGAUGGAACUCUGCUAAGAGAAAUGCCAACAAAAGGCCCAGAGGAAGAGAGAGAGCAAGACCCCAUGGAAGAUUCGGAUGUUCGUCUGGGUGGAAGAGUCCAAAGCGGAUGUACCAGCAUGUUGUUAGCACACACACACCCUUGUGGGAAGAGGAGCAGCUGAGGUGACCAGGAGGUGACGGAUGCUCUCACUCUUCAUCACGAAAUAUUCAGAGAACACCGUUCCAGCUCCUUGAGAUCUACGGUGUCCAGAGCAACCCCAGAUUCCUCUAUCAUCAUAAAUCCCUGACUAAAAGAAAGCAGCCAGAAGAUUUUCCCCUGUGAAAUGGCCCAAAGUCAUUCCAUCAGUCCUUCUCAAAGAUGCACUGGGUGCCCUUCAUCAUUAUCACAUUAUAAAUGAAUUUGUUAAGAAAUAUGUGCUUACUGACUACAAUGUGCCAGUCACUGUGCUAGAUGCUUGGGAUGUAGCAAUGAAUAAACAAACCUAUCAAGAUUCCUGCCCUCAGGGAGGUGACAGUCUCUCAGGGGAGACAGACACACAAUAACGACAGGAAGUAAAUUAAAUGGCAUGUUAGAAGGUGAUGGAACUAAAUAAAGAAAAGAAAGGAAAAGCCAUCAUUUACUUCAUCAUUCAUUUUUCAGUUUUCCUUUAGCCCCAACAUUCAGAGUCCCCCCAAAUAUUUUCUCCGUAUUAUAAUUUCUUAUUCUUUAGUUUUUUCAUUACUAGCAUGACUAGAGUAUUGCUUGAGACUGAUUUCAUUCUAUGAAUACACUUUAUGCAUUAUGUAAUGUGGAAGUGCCUGGGCUCUGUUCAGUGAAACAUUUUCUAAAUUUUCCUUUCAAUACUUCCAUGAGUUGGGCAGAAAGAGCAUCAUUACGCCCAUUUUACAGACAAAAAGCCCAAGGUUCAUGGAGUCUUUGAAAAGUUGGGUGUCUUGAUUUUUUUUCCCAGUAUUCUUUUGUAGACUUACGUAGGAAGUAUUUUUGGUAUAUUCUCUGUGGGAAAAAGUGUUAGAAAUUUCAAACAAUUGACUUCAAAACAAACCUGGCUAUUUGUUGGCAACUUCUUUUUUUUUUUUUUUCCUGAGAUGGAGUCUCACUCUGGCAUCCAGGCUGGAGUGCAGUGGCACGAUCUCGGCUCACUGCAACCUCUGCCUCCCGGGUUCAAGUGAUUCUCCUGCCUCAGCCUCCUGAGUAGCUGGGAUUACAGGUGUGCGCCACCAGGCCUGGCUAAUUUUUAUAUUUUUAGUAAAGAGGAGGUUUCACCAUGUUGGCCAGGCUAGUCUUGAACUGGCUGGUCUUGAACCCCUCGUGAUCCACCCGCCUUGGCCUCCCAAAGUGCUAGGAUUACAGGUGUGAGCCACUGUGCCCAGGUGGCAACUUCCAAUAUAGUGAUUAAGUAGGUUCACACCUGAUGGCAUAUUUCCAUUUCCGGGAAAGUGAUGGUUAAAAAGAAAUCUACUUACAUUGUGUGCUUGAUUGUUACCACUGUGGUUCCUGAUACUGGGUUAUCCUUAUCGGCC
rnacentral:lncRNA from 1 species